CAUAGAACAAGUCUGAUAUACAAUAUUGUACGGAAACUAGUGGUAUAGAUCUAGUGAUAUAGAUCAGCAGGACAAUGGGACUGGGACUUUCUGAAGGCACUGUACAAAGUAAGGGUAUUUAAAUUGUUGAAGUAUUGACGCAUAGUGACUCGAAGGAGUUCCGUUUCUGCAUUCAACUCUGUGGAUGAAGUCAUGGUGGAGUUGAGGUACAUGGCAAGGGAUGGGACAGGGACUGACUAAGGCUGGGGAUGGGACAGGGACUGACUAAGGCUGGGGAUGGGACAGGGACUGACUAAGGCUGGGGAUGGGACUGACUAAGGCUGGGGAUGGGACAGGGAAUGACUAAGGCUGGGGAUGGGACAGGGACUGACUAAGGCUGGGGAUGGGACAGGGACUGACUAAGGCUGGGGAUGGGACUGACUAAGG
ensembl:lncRNA